rnacentral:rRNA from 1 species
GACGAACGCUGGCGGCGUGCCUAAUACAUGCAAGUCGAACGAACUCUGGUAUUGAUUGGUGCUUGCAUCAUGAUUUACAUUUGAGUGAGUGGCGAACUGGUGAGUAACACGUGGGAAACCUGCCCAGAAGCGGGGGAUAACACCUGGAAACAGAUGCUAAUACCGCAUAACAACUUGGACCGCAUGGUCCGAGUUUGAAAGAUGGCUUCGGCUAUCACUUUUGGAUGGUCCCGCGGCGUAUUAGCUAGAUGGUGAGGUAACGGCUCACCAUGGCAAUGAUACGUAGCCGACCUGAGAGGGUAAUCGGCCACAUUGGGACUGAGACACGGCCCAAACUCCUACGGGAGGCAGCAGUAGGGAAUCUUCCACAAUGGACGAAAGUCUGAUGGAGCAACGCCGCGUGAGUGAAGAAGGGUUUCGGCUCGUAAAACUCUGUUGUUAAAGAAGAACAUAUCUGAGAGUAACUGUUCAGGUAUUGACGGUAUUUAACCAGAAAGCCACGGCUAACUACGUGCCAGCAGCCGCGGUAAUACGUAGGUGGCAAGCGUUGUCCGGAUUUAUUGGGCGUAAAGCGAGCGCAGGCGGUUUUUUAAGUCUGAUGUGAAAGCCUUCGGCUCAACCGAAGAAGUGCAUCGGAAACUGGGAAACUUGAGUGCAGAAGAGGACAGUGGAACUCCAUGUGUAGCGGUGAAAUGCGUAGAUAUAUGGAAGAACACCAGUGGCGAAGGCGGCUGUCUGGUCUGUAACUGACGCUGAGGCUCGAAAGUAUGGGUAGCAAACAGGAUUAGAUACCCUGGUAGUCCAUACCGUAAACGAUGAAUGCUAAGUGUUGGAGGGUUUCCGCCCUUCAGUGCUGCAGCUAACGCAUUAAGCAUUCCGCCUGGGGAGUACGGCCGCAAGGCUGAAACUCAAAGGAAUUGACGGGGGCCCGCACAAGCGGUGGAGCAUGUGGUUUAAUUCGAAGCUACGCGAAGAACCUUACCAGGUCUUGACAUACUAUGCAAAUCUAAGAGAUUAGACGUUCCCUUCGGGGACAUGGAUACAGGUGGUGCAUGGUUGUCGUCAGCUCGUGUCGUGAGAUGUUGGGUUAAGUCCCGCAACGAGCGCAACCCUUAUUAUCAGUUGCCAGCAUUGAGUUGGGCACUCUGGUGAGACUGCCGGUGACAAACCGGAGGAAGGUGGGGAUGACGUCAAAUCAUCAUGCCCCUUAUGACCUGGGCUACACACGUGCUACAAUGGAUGGUACAACGAGUUGCGAACUCGCGAGAGUAAGCUAAUCUCUUAAAGCCAUUCUCAGUUCGGAUUGUAGGCUGCAACUCGCCUACAUGAAGUCGGAAUCGCUAGUAAUCGCGGAUCAGCAUGCCGCGGUGAAUACGUUCCCGGGCCUUGUACACACCGCCCGUCACACCAUGAGAGUUUGUAACACCCAAAGUCGGUGGGGUAACCUUUUAGGAACCAGCCGCCUAAGGUGGGACAGAUGAUUAGGGUG